GAUGAACGCUGGCGGCGUGCUUAACACAUGCAAGUCGAACGGUGAAGGCGGAGCUUGCUCUGCUGGAUCAGUGGCGAACGGGUGAGUAACACGUGAGCAAUCUGCCCCUGACUCUGGGAUAAGCGCUGGAAACGGCGUCUAAUACUGGAUACGAGCUGCGAAGGCAUCUUCAGCAGCUAGAAAGAAUUUCGGUCAGGGAUGAGCUCGCGGCCUAUCAGCUUGUUGGUGAGGUAAUGGCUCACCAAGGCGUCGACGGGUAGCCGGCCUGAGAGGGUGACCGGCCACACUGGGACUGAGACACGGCCCAGACUCCUACGGGAGGCAGCAGUGGGGAAUAUUGCACAAUGGGCGAAAGCCUGAUGCAGCAACGCCGCGUGAGGGACGACGGCCUUCGGGUUGUAAACCUCUUUUAGCAGGGAAGAAGCGAAAGUGACGGUACCUGCAGAAAAAGCGCCGGCUAACUACGUG
rnacentral:rRNA from 1 species